rnacentral:lncRNA from 1 species
GGCGCUGGGCCCGCGGCUGUUUUGCAGGGAGGGCCGCGGCGGCCUCGGGAGUCCCUCUCCCAGGCAGUUUCCUCUUUUGCAGAACAAGGUAAUGACGCCCACCUAGAGUCCCAGUCUGUGAGUCCUGGUGGGUGCCAGGGCCCCCGGCACAGCACCCUUCGCACGGGAGCGCCCGGCUGUCACAGGGGCCGAAUCUCACGAGCUCGGUCACUUAGGACAAUGUAGACGCCCUUUCUGGGAGGCCGGGGCUCAGUUCAGAGAGGUCGAGGUGGCGCGGUGCAGCGGUGCUCUCCUGCAGGAACAGGCGAGUCACCCAGAGUUUACUGAAUACCGCCCCCCCCCCCCCCCCCGCCCUCCGUGUGAAACUCUGCGCUGCCCAUUGUGCAGCUGGGAACACUGAGCCCCAGGCGACAUAACUUGCUCCUCCAGGCAAUACACAGUGAAUGGGAGAACCCCUUCACAGAGCUGAAUGAUGCAGUCCUGGCCCUUGUCAGACUCACGGGAGGAGGGUGUUAGUGCAGGGAGCAGGGACUGUAGAAUUAAAGAAAUGUGGACAUGGCUGACAGAGAGGAGUCCCAUCAGCUGAACUGAGCACCUAGGUGCCUGAACCCCAGUCCAAGCCCCCAGUUUCUUUCCCCUAGACCUGGUCCUGCCCUUAGCCUCACUGGCCCCAUCUGUAAAAUGGGCAGAGGGUUCCAGCCUCCCGGUUUCCUCCCUAGGCCCACAGCUGCCCAACCUGGUUCCCCCUCUUGCCCCCACCUUGCCUAAACGUCCUUCCAAAGGUUCAUUCAUCCCACAAGCCUUUAUUGAUUUUCUCCUACAUGCUAGACAGGGUGCUGGAGUGCUAGACGCUGGAGGGGGCCUUCCCAGUCUGGUGGGGGAGGCAGAUGUGCAAGUAAGAAUAAGCCUGGACAGGCAGAGUGUGAUAGAGCUAGGAUGUCAAGAUGGACCUUUUCGAUCCUGGGUGACAGCCAGGUCUUAAUGACCCUGCUGCCAGGGACCUGCCAUCCACUCCUGGCUGCCCGUGUCCAAGAUGUCCCCCCAGUGCCCCUGCCCCACCCCAGCUGGGCCCAAAACAUUCCCCAUGAUGAAUCAGCAGGAAAGAAUGCUCCCAGCCUCGGGUCAGUGGCAGCAGCCCAGCUCCUCCCCCAGGGACAAUGAGGCAGCUGUGGGCUUGGGUGCCAGGUAUGCCUAAGCCCUCUCCUAGGGCCCAGCCACCUCUCAUGCUGAGCCAGAAGCAACACAGAGGGUUCGGAAACGUGGGCUCUGCCUGCUGCCAAUCACUCACCAGGCCUGGCUGCCCAGAACUAAAAAUACCCUGGAGCGCAGGGGCGGGCGGAGGAUAGAGACCAGGGAAUGAAUGGAUGUUGCCCGGAAGUCCUUUAAUUUGCACAACUCUGGGCAGAGGCCAAGGCUGGGAAGCAGUGGAAGUGGGGAUCUCUAAGGCAUGCGCUGUGAGCCCCCAACCCUGAGAAGUGAGGGGCUCUGGUCCCAGCCCCAGCCCAUGGCGUACUAACAGUGGGAUUUUCUCGGCUGAGUUGUCAUCUCCUCAUCCUUAAAUGUGAUUGCUGUAGGGGUCAGAUGGGACCACUGGAUUCAUCUCAAUCAGCUUUCAUUUGAUUGAGAAAGCCCUCUUCUUCCCUCCUGCCUGGCUAUGUUCACCCGGCCUCAGCCCAGCGCCUGUGACCCUCUCCAUACUCUUUAUAUAAUGGUCUGUGUCUGCCUUAACUCUGGACACCCCCACCCACCCCCGAGCUUCUUAUUUAUCUCUAAACCCAGAUCCUGUCACAGAGCUUGACACAUAGCAAGUGCUCCAGAAGUGCUCACGGAUUGAAUAAAUGGACCUAGCGGUGCGUGCCAGUUUCUGGUCCCCAAGGUGAUACAGACAAGCCAGAGGUGCUUCCUAUCUUGUCCUCAAGGAAUUUGCAGAGUGGUGGGGGAGACAGAGCCACAAUCAACCAGCAGGACAAGGCAUCAUCACCAUUAUCAUCAUCAUGGCUGGCUGGGGUCGAAAAACCGGUGGACAAUGCUUUCAUCAUCUCCUGUUUACACAAUGAAACUGGGACACAAAGGGGUUAAGUGACUUGGCCAACAUCACACAGCUGUUAUCUGCAGAUGGGAGCAAGUGAUCAAUGACGGCGAAAGCACAGGGCUGUGUGGAUGCUGGGCAGGGAAGUCUGAGGGUUGAAGCCUUCCCAGAAGUGCCUUGGAAGGUGGAUCUGAUACACUGGGUAGAGAGGGGGGAAAGUGGAGUGGUCAGGAAUAACACUUUACGAUGUUGUGGAAGCCGUGAAGCACCAUGCAGGUGUCUGGAGUUACCGCAGCUCCCCUGAUCCCUCAGCCAGUACCCAGGGACUUGGAUGUGUAAGCAUCACCUCUCCCUGCCUCCUCCCAGGGAAAGGAGCUAACAUGAAUCUCUUCCCCAUGGGGUGCUUCUCAACCCUCCCUUCCUGCCUAAGUCAGGGUCUGUACUUUCCUCCCAAGUGGGAAGGCCAGAAUCUCCUGCAGAAAGCGGUGGCCUCCAGGGUGCACCUGGUUGAACCCAGUAGUGACCCUGGUGGAGUGCCCAGUGCCCAUGCCUGCUGGCAAACUUCCUCCUCAGCAGCCUUCAGGACUCAGUUCUAGCCUCAUCUCCUCUGUGACUCAGUAUGGAGGAAACUGUACAGCUUUAAAACUGGGCAACCUGAGUUCUAGCUCUGCUUCUGAAUUGUGUGGCCUCGGGUAAGUUAUUUUGCUGUGCCUAAGGUACUGCCUCCUGCAUCUAUUUGUCCUGCCGUUGCAUUCCUGCCUCCUCUAACACUCAGUGCUGUGGCAACAGCCCCCAAACUGCUCUCAGUUUUUCCCUGCAUCUCACUGUUCCUGACGUCAGUCUUUCUAAAGUGUUGUCUUGCUCUAGCUCAAGAAUCUUUAAUUGCUCACUACUGCCCACAGGAGAGAAGGAAUCUCCAGUUGCCUCUACUCACUUCAUUUUCCAUAUUCUACCUACCCUUCAGGCCUAACUCCGAUUCCAACUCCUCCGUGAUAUCUCCCAUGAAAACUUGCAUGAAUGCUCUCAAAGUAGAAGGUGCUGGAAGAGUCACAGAGCCAAACCAGACACAGUGUUUGCCCUCAAGGAGCUCACUGUCUAGUGAGAGAGAUGACUCAAAGACAUAGCUUGAUGGAACGUAGAUUGUAAUAACAGAAAGUAGGACAAAUGGGGAGAACAAGCCAUUUUGGCCAAGGACAGGCUCCUCCUUUGUUGAGAGCUGUUUAUCCAGAAACAGGGCUUUUGUUCAGGGAGAGGAUGGGAGCUGAGAGGGUUUUGUAAGAUCAUGAAGUUGGGGAAGUGGGGAGGGUGGAUCUAGGAAGCCUGGAGGGGCUAGUCAAGGAUACGGUUUCUAGGGAGAAAGGAGAGAUGAGCUGGUUGCAGUAAGGAGAGGAAAUUUGGCGGAAGAGCAGAGCUGGUUAAAAAGAAAUUCUAGGAAGUUUGGGUUUGUGAUAGGCAAAGUCACCCUCUCCCCUGUUCUGUGAAAGCUUCAGAAACCCCGCAUAAGUCAAUCAAGUUUGGAGCUGGACAGGCCCACCCCAGCAUUUGCAGGGCCCAGGGCAAGACUCAAGGGAGGCCUUAUGCCAUGAGUCAAGUAUUUUAAAGCCAUCAACCAAAUGAAUCCAUUGUUAAGUCAAUCAUGGUCUAGCCUCCCACCUUGACAAAUAUACCUUUGGAAAGACCUGGAAGGUCAGGUUUGCAUUCACAACUUUCCACUCCUCGGAGUUCUGUAUGGAACACGCUAUGACAAGAGUGUCUGCCUCUGGCCUUGCACCCUGGUGUGUCCGUCCGCACCAUAUUCUGCCCAUCCCACACAGCAAGGGGCCUUCUGCUGUGACAGACAUGCAACACCGUCGGCUCUGUGCAGACCUCCCACAGACAGCUG